rnacentral:ncRNA from 1 species
GUACGAGAAUGGCAAAAUCAUUGAAAAGUGAUGACGCAAAGCUAAAGGGACUUAGCGGACCGAAAGACCGAAAGUCAGCCAGUUGCCGAA